UCUAUGCACCUCUCUUAUUUGCAUAGUUUGAAUUAAGGCUUCCUUAAUCAGGCCAACAAGCUCUGGUUGAUUUUCAACAAAUAUCCAUUUACCAGCAAUUCAAAAUGAAACAGCAGCAGUGGACUCACAAUGAAUGGUCGAAUAUGUAGUAUUGUUUUUUGACAUAUUUGGAUGCUGGCUUUGUCCGUUGUAUUGGCACCAAGCAAAGGCCAUAAGAAAUGCAUUCCCACGAGGAAAGAAGAUAAAUGAAGGAGUGCCACCAAUAUGCUCAACAUCUGCAUCAAUAUACUUCGAAUUUGGAAGAUCCAACAAUAAUCUAACAAUAUCAUUGCAGACACACAUUUUACUGAGCUUCCAUCAGAACUCAGUAUUCAGUUAAAGAUAUUUUCAUCUGUUUGCAGGAGAGCAAUUUAAUGGACAGAGGCAAAAGUUUUACCUAAUAUGGUUCAGAGCCAAGCUGGGAACAGGAUUUGUAAGAUGCUAUGUGUGCAUCACCACAAGAAGAAGACAGAACAUGGACUUUACUCAAGAGAAAGUACCCUGUUAACUGACGGCUGAAAAAUGCUGGUUCAGAGUGAAUAAAUCUACUGAUGAAUUCUUCAUGAUUGCCUAUCACAAACCCACCUUUAACCAGACAAUAAAUGUACAUGUGCACAGCCCAGACCAUCACGGAAGCCAAACUUCCAUCCAUGGAAUCCACCUCCACUUCUCGUUACUAUGGAAACACUGCCAAUAUCGUCAAAGACUCCUCCCACCCUAGUAAUACUCCCCUACAACCUCUUCCAUCAGGCAGAAGAUACAGAAGCUUGAACACACGCACCAACAGGUUGAAGAACAGCUUCUUUCCUGCUGUUAUUAGACUGAUGAGUGGACUUUCUAACUUCAAAUAAUGUUGAUCUUGUUACUGUUGACCUUAAUUAUUAUGUCUCCUGUGCAGUGUAACAUGUAGGCCUCACUUGGUCCAAGCACCCUAUGAAUUGUAUGGAAACAAAACAAAUGCUGAAGGUCAUAGUGAUCAGCUCUGGCGAGGAGUCAUUUAGACUCAAAAUAUCAGUUUGCUCUCUCUCCAUGAAUGCUGUCCGACCUGCUGUGAUCUUCAGCAUUUGUUGUUUUCAAUACAGAUUCCAGCAUCUGCUGUAAUUUGCUCCUGCUAUGAUCUGUAUGUCUUUGCUUACUAUGGUCUGCCUGUACUGCUCGCAAACAAAGCUAUUCACUGUACUUAGGUACAUGUGACAAUAAAUCAAAUCAAAUCAAAUGUG